rnacentral:rRNA from 1 species
AACGAACGCUGGCGGCAGGCUUAACACAUGCAAGUCGAACGGGUGUAGCAAUACAUCAGUGGCGCACGGGUGAGUAACGCGUGGGAAUAUGCCCUUUGGUACGGAACAACCUCGGGAAACUGAGGCUAAUACCGUAUAAUAUCUGCGGAUCAAAGAUUUAUCGCCAAAGGAUUGGCCCGCGUUGGAUUAGGUAGUUGGUGAGGUAACGGCUCACCAAGCCGACGAUCCAUAGCUGGUCUGAGAGGAUGAUCAGCCACACUGGGACUGAGACACGGCCCAGACUCCUACGGGAGGCAGCAGUGAGGAAUAUUGGACAAUGGAGGAAACUCUGAUCCAGCCAUGCCGCGUGAGUGAUGAAGGCCUUCGGGUUGUAAAGCUCUUUUACCCCUGACGAUAAUGACGGUAAGGGGAGAAAAAGCCACGGCUAACUUCGUGCCAGCCGCCGCCGUAA